GGGGUUGUAGCUCAGUGGUACAGUGCUUGCCUAGCAUAUAUGAGGCAAUAGGUUCAAUCCUCAACACCA
rnacentral:tRNA from 1 species